CAACCCAGUUACUUCCGCCGCUUUCUGCAUUGCUACGAUACCAUCCAUUCCACACAGCUACUGUAAAUGUUUUGGAGGUCGAGGUCAUCCCACAGCGUUCCCCAUCUCCACAUCCUUGGCCUGCAGCUCGUGUCGAGAUAGGAACUCCACAAUGCCUGCCCCAAUGGAGUCGCCCAAGACAUUCGUCGUGGUACGCAGCCGGUCACUACAACCCAGGAAUAAGGAACCAAUCAACAGCAAUGAUGAGGGUGAUGUCAUCAGUGGGAAGUCCGACAGAGGUCAGCACAAUCACCAUGGUGACCAGUCCAG